rnacentral:tRNA from 1 species
GCCUGGGUGGCUCAGUUGGUUAAGUGUCCGACUUCGGCUCUGGUCAUGAUCUCAUGGUUCGUGGGUUCGAACCCCACUUCGGGCU